UUUUUAUCCCUUUUAUUUUUUGUUUUUUUUUUGUCAAAAUGUCAGGAAAAAUAAAUAGAGUUAAAUAACUAAUCAAAUGAUUUUUAUCUGCUCUAUUUAUAAAGAUUUAAUUUUUAUUCAUUUUAUUGCAUUUAAAUUCAUUUUAAAUCAUAGAAAUAUUCAAGGGCAAUGUGUGUUUCUUUGUGAUUAAUCUGGAACGUUGGAUCAGAAUAAUCAAGAGCUCAC
rnacentral:lncRNA from 1 species